rnacentral:tRNA from 1 species
GUCACUGUAGUUUAAAUAAAACAUUGAAUUGUGGUUUCAAAAAUGCUUUAUAGCCAGUAACC